GACGAACGCUGGCGGCGUGCCUAAUACAUGCAAGUCGAACGCUGAAGGCGGAGCUUGCUUCUCUGGAUGAGUUGCGAACGGGUGAGUAACGCGUAGGUAACCUGCCUGGUAGCGGGGGAUAACUAUUGGAAACGAUAGCUAAUACCGCAUAAUAGUAGCUGUUGCAUGACAUUUGCCUAAAAGGUGCAAUUGCUUCGCAACCAGAUGGACCUGCGUUGUAUUAGCUAGUUGGUGGGGUAUCGGCUCACCAAGGCGGCGAUACAUAGUCGACCUGAGACGGGGGUCAGCCACACUGAGAGUGUGACACGGCCCAUAGGCACUGGGGAGGCAGCAGUAGGGAAACGGCAGCAAUGGACGGAAGUCUGACCGAGCUACGCCGCGGGAGGGAAGAAGGUUGUCGGGUCGGAAAGCUCGGUUGUAAGGGUAGAACGAGUGUGAGAGUGGAAAGAUCACUCAGUGACGGUAUCUGACCAGAAAGAGACGGCUAACUACGUG
rnacentral:rRNA from 1 species